GGGAAUGAGAGACUUUGACCAGUCUCUUGAGAGACUUGAAAUCUGGGUGUCUAUGCCAUUUUACCAAACACUAGUUGCAUGUUUAUAGAAUGAUUAUUUGAUUGAAUAUAUAAAUACAACUUUCAACAACGGAUCUCUUGGCUCUCGCAUCGAUGAAGAACGCAGCGAAAUGCGAUAAGUAAUGUGAAUUGCAGAAUUCAGUGAAUCAUCGAAUCUUUGAACGCACCUUGCGCUCCUUGGCAUUCCGAGGAGCAUGCCUGUUUGAGUGUCAUUAACACCUCAAGACCUGUCUGCUUUUGAUAGGUAUUGGAUUUUGGGAGUUGCAGGCUGUUUCAGAUAUAGCUUGCUCUCCUUGAAUGUAUUAGUGGAGAAAAGCUGUUGAACUCCAUUGGUGUGAUAAAAUCUAUCAAUGCCAGGAGCAACAUCAAGUGGUCUCUGCUGUCUAACCCUAACUGUCUGACUCACUUGACCUCAAAUCAGGUAGGACUACCCGCUGAACUUAAGCAUAUCAAUAAGCGGAGGAAAAGAAACUAACAAGGAUUCCCCUAGUAACUGCGAGUGAAGUGGGAAAAGCUCAAAUUUAAAAUCUGGCAGAUUUUUGUCUGUCCGAGUUGUAACCUAGAGAAGUGUAACCUGUGCUGGACC
rnacentral:rRNA from 1 species